AUGAGAUGAUCUGUGCAGCAAACCACCAUGGCACAGGUUUACCUGUGUAACAAACUUGCACAUCUUCUGCAUGUAUCCUAGAACUCAAACGUUGAUGAAAAAAAAGAUUUACCUUCAUUUAAAAAGCUUAGAUUCUGUUACCUAUAAAUAUAGGUCACUGAACUUUUAUUUAUGCUGCAUAACUAUCCUGGUUCUGCUAAAGGUAUAUUAAAUAUAAUGUUUAUUUGAUGAUUCAAAAUGUACCUCAAGUUUAUGAUUCUAGAGCUUGGUAUAUCAGAAGAUGAAGUAGAUGAGGCUGCAUCUGUCUGCGUUGGCUCUCAGAUGUUUGGUCUGUUGACUUUCUCUGCCCGAUGACAAGAACGCUAUCUGUUUUGAAGUGACUUUUAAUUUGUUGAAUAUUGGUGGUGAGUGGAAAAUGAAUGUAAAUGAAAUAUCAUAUUGCUGGAGCAGGUAGAAUGGAUGUGAAUGAAAGCUUCCUGUUUUAUGGGCUGCUGAGAGGUGAUAGCUCUUAAAAAGCAGUCUGCUAAGUGAUCCCAAGCUAAUGCAAAUUAACAGUUGUUUUCUUUCAGAGCUGUGACAGAAUAAACAUUUACCAUUUGUUUUAUUUCUACUCAUCUCUUAAAACAGUUGCUACAGGUCUUAAUAGUAAGACUCGAAACAUAUAAUGUAUUAGCCUUGGCACAUCAAAAUAUUGUUCAUCUUCCAAACUUGAGAUAUUCCAGUUUGGCUUCUCAUUGAGUUUAUAAUGUUCUGAGGGUAUGUGUCUAAAAACGCAUCUUACUAAUCUCCUGGAAUUGAUUUUUUUUUAAAAAGUCCCUGUAACUUGUCACUAUUCCCAGCUUAAACAUGGUCUGUCAGUUGUGAGAUCGAUGGGCAUUGUGGUACAUUUCAAUCUUAGGAGGGACCUGAAUAAGAAAUUUAAACCAUUAAAUAGUAUUUUGGAAGGGAGACGUAUGAUAUUUGUGCAAACUAAUAAUGAGGUUAAAAAUGGAAUUUCAGCCUUAGCUUUUUUGUAUAUGCCUUUCACGUGAUUCAAUGUGAUCACCCUUUCUCAUAGCACCACGGUGGCAACUGUGAGGGGUAAAGAAUCUCAGCAAUUGCACAACAGUAUCAAAUACAUUCAUUUUAGGAACUCUCCUAAAGGUUUAUUCCAAUCGUUAACAUUCCUGGAGCUGGCGUUGUCUGCCAAGUGCUCAGCGCUAGUUCACAGGCAGCAAAUUUAGCAUGACAAAGUUGCUCCCAUUUUGCAAAUGGGAAACCUGGAGCCCCAAAUGGAGCCUCUCACAGUAAACUGCAGAAUGGAGAUGAGAUCCUAGAGAUACAGUAUAAGGGAUUAUCUGGGAUCAUGUAGAUGGUUUGCAGUUGCCUUUGUAUGGCUACCGGGUUAGAUCAUUCUUGGCAAGUUUGGUGAAUUAGUAUCCUAUUCCUGAGUCCCAUUUCAAUACCUAGCUUGGAACUCUUCCACUCCCUGAAAACUUCCAUUGAAAUUUUUAUCAAUGGUAUUUGCAUAGACAAAAUGGAAUCAAACUAUUGACAUGUACUUUUCAUAUAUAUAAAAAAAAAAGCAAAUUUAUGUGAAUGGUUUGUCAGUGGAGAUAAUUUAGCCAAAGGCACCUGUCUUCUCUAAGGACCCUGCCUGAAAAGACUUUUAGGGGGAGCUUGGUGAAUUUUUUUGUCUUUAAAAUAAAGCUGUUUUUGAGGUAUGAGAGAAGCUUGGUUUUUGAAAUGGCACAAUGAAUAACAAAAGCCCCUUUUCACCCCCCAAAAAAAGGACUAAAAAGAACAUUUGUGAGACUCUUAGGGAAGAAUUGUGCUGUUAACAUAAAAGUCUAGAUACAAGGAAAGGGAAAAUGGGAAGAAAAGGAGGAGCAGGUAAUACUGGGGAAAUGCUGGACCCUGACAGCAACUUGUUUUACAAAGAUGAUUACACUCAAACUUGGAUUCAAAAUGUAAGAAAGCAUGUUUACAGUGAAUAAAACAGCUAGAAGAUAAAACUUAGCAGAAUAGCCUGUUGUUGAGUACAGACUUAUGCCUGAGUAUGCAUGUGUUUCUCUCUCGGUUCUUUCCUCUUCUCCCACACUGGCCCUAUAAGUAUAUUCUGGCAGACAAGUGGCCAGUAACCAGUCUUCAUAAUGGAGGUCAGGUGAUUUGUAUUUUUGGAUUUUUGGAAUCGACAGGGCUUAUAAUUGAUUUGAAGAUGGAAAGUACACUAUUUCACCACCGCCUGUCAUUUAGUGGAUGUGGUUCUUGAGUAUGUCCAGAAUUAUAUUGUUGUUAAUGUGUCUUGAGCCCUGACCUAAACUGUAGAUGAGAAGGCUCUUUAAAUAUUAAAAUGCAGAACAAACAGAAUUGCUUAUGCAGUAGGAAAGUGCACGGUAUUCAAAAGUCAGACCUCCAUCUUUUUAUGGGGCAGCUAUUGUGAAUGCUACAUUUCUGUCCAAAAUAUAACUCUUUUGAAAACUCCCUCUUUAACAAAAAUACCAAGUUGAUGGCCUCUCUUUAAAAAAAAAAAAAAAGGAAAGUAACAGAAUAUAACUUCAGAAUUAUCAAAUAUGUUUAUCCCCCUUACAUGUCAAAGUUUAAGUGCUAUGUUUUACAUACACAGUCAUCAUGAUAUUUGAAAAGGCUGUAAAGAAAAACAAUUGUAUAAUUGUUUCUAAAGAACAUAGAAGCAAGGAUCAAAAGGCUUUUAGAAACUAGAGAACAGUAUUAACAAUUAUGGUACCUGAAGUCAAGCUGCAAAAUUCUGUCCUAAUUAUUGGUGAUGAUUAAUUUAGCAUAAAGUUACACGCCUUGAAAGAAUUUCGGAAUUAUUUUUCUUUGAUUUUUCUACCAAAAAAAGGCCCACCCCAUCAUUUUCUAUUUUAGCAGUUUCCACAACUUAAACAUUAAAUUCUUAUUGUUUGAUUUCUGUUAUAUUAGUAGUGUGUGUUUUGCAAUUCUAAUCUUCACGUUUUUCUUUCUUUAUCACUGAAGUAGGCCUUUUGAAGCUGGGAAAUUUUUCAUAGCAAUAUUGACAGUGUUCACAUUUGCAUGAUGACAGCCAAGGAAUGGAGCAGUAAUUUUUGAAAUUGCAGAAGUAUUUAGAACACUGAUAAAAGCUGAAAUAUAUUUUUGAUGGAUUGAAGUUAAGCAUACAUGAUUUUUCCUGCUGUCAAAAGGCUCUGAAUUUAGUGAAUAUUUGCCUGCUGUGAGAAUGCAAGAUUAACAUCACAACCAUCACCCGGGCACCCAAACCCUGCAAUUUAAUAGCUUUUUAGGUUCUUUCCUUUUUCUAAACAGCAAUUAAUCUCAUUUUAGUACAAUUUUCUCGUUUCUGAAGUCGCUCAUUGAAUCGCUGUUUUGUUCAUAUUUGGCUUCAGCUCCUCUGCAUAGUCAUUAAAGUCCCAAUUAAUGUCACCUUUAGCUGAAGAGUACUCAUUUUUAUUGAGAAAAUGACAGUUGCUGCCAUGAGUAGUGCAGUGUAAUAUACAUUAAUUGCCCUGUAACACUGGUAAUUACGAGUUUUUCAAGCCUCUCAGUAAACUGUCAUGCCUAGACAAGACUGUGCUAAAAUAGAUUACUCAUUAGGGAGACCUGUCCUAUUUUCUGGUGGGUUCUUAGUGUUGGUUUAAAAAAAAAAAAAAAAAUCUUGAGCUUGAACAAAUAGUUGCCAAGAGCAAUUUCCUACAACAAUAUCCUCAUGUUGGGUUUUUCAGCCAUCACUUAAGAUUGCGG